UUCAACUUUUGACCUCGGAUCAGGUAGGGAUACCCGCUGAACUUAAGCAU
rnacentral:rRNA from 1 species